CCCAUAGGGACUAGGGGACCAUUAACCAGGACCCAUAGGAACUAGGGGACCGUCAACCAGGACCCAUAGGAACUAGGGGACCAUUAACCAGGACCCAUAGGAACUAGGGGACCAUUAACCAGGACCCAUAGGAACUAGGGGACCAUUAACCAGGACCCAUAGGGACUAGGGGACCAUUAACCAGGACCCAUAGGAACUAGGGGACCAUUAACCAGGACCCAUAGGAACUAGGGGACCAUUAACCAGGACCCACAGGAACUAGGGGACCAUUAACCAGGACCCACAGGAACUAGUGGACCAUUAACCAGGACCCAUAGGGACUAGGGGACCAUUAACCAGGACCCAUAGGAACCAUUAACCAGGACCCAUAGGGACCAUUAACCAGGACCAAUAGGAACUAGGGGACCAUUAACCAGGACCCAUAGGAACUAGGGGACCAUUAACCAGGACCCAUAGGAACUAGGGGACCAUUAACCAGGACCCAUAGGAACUAGGGGACCAUUAACCAGGACCCAUAGGAACUAGGGGACCAUUAACCAGGACCAAUAGGAACUAGGGGACCAUUAACCAGGACCCACAGGAACUAGGGGACCAUUAACCAGGACCCACAGGAACUAGGGGACCAUUAACCAGGACCCAUAGGGACCAUUAACCAGGACCCAUAGGAACUAGGGGACCAUUAACCAGGACCCAUAGGAACUAGGAGACCAUUAACCAGGACCCAUAGGGACUAGGGGACCGUCAACCAGGACCCAUAGGAACCAUUAACCAGGACCCAUAGGAACUAGGAGACCAUUAACCAGGACCCAUAGGAACCAUUAACCAGGACCCAUAGGAACUAGGGGACCAUUAACCAGGACCCAUAGGGACUAGGGGACCAUUAACCAGGACCCAUAGGGACUAGGGGACCAUUAACCAGGACCCAUAGGGACCAUUAACCAGGACCCAUAGGAACUAGGAGACCAUUAACCAGGACCCAUAGGAACUAGGAGACCAUUAACCAGGACCCAUAGGAACCAUUAACCAGGACCCAUAGGAACUAGGAGACCAUUAACCAGGACCCAUAGGAACCAUUAACCAGGACCCAUAGGAACUAGGGAGACCAUUAACCAGGACCCAUAGGAACCAUUAACCAGGACCCAUAGGAACCAUUAACCAGGACCUUGUUACUCCUUAUCUCCACGUUGUCUCCGUUUGUUACGGGCUUUGAGCUGGUUCGUGACAACCAGGACCCAUAGGGACUAGGGGACCAUCAACCAGGACACAUAGGGACCAUUCUGGGAUGCAGAUGUUGCCACUUAAAUGUGUUAGAGAGCCUGAAGAAGUUUGAUCAACAAGUCAAACUAUUCCACAGAAUAAACACAAUGGUGUGUGUGUGUGUGUGUGUGUGUGUAUUCAUGCGUUUUAA
ensembl:lncRNA